GCGGGCUCCGCGCCCCCUCCCCGGAGCUGCCCCUCGCUCCGGGCCCUGCCUGCAGCCCUGCCGCCAGAAAAGCCUUUCCUCUAGGUGCUGCGGCGCUCGCACGGAAAUUGCCUCAGCCAGAAGCUUUAUUAAGCAAGUAAAUUAAUAUUCAGCCUUCCUGUAGCACUGGAGCUUGUUCAUCAUGGCUGUGCCUUCCAUCAUUCUUUGCAGUGGCAGUGGGGACUGUUCUACUUGCAGGAAUGUUGGGACUAAUCAUGUGAGAAAAGAUCCUGGAGUGAUGAGGCAGCAUAUUUCCCAUGUCUGAGGUCAGGAUUUGUUCUGUGAAGCUGACCUUUAAAACAGCCUGAAAAUGAGGAACGUGGCACCAGAGAGCAGAGCAGGAAGCAUGAAAUUAUAGUCCUAAGGGAGAAGCAAAUGGAUAUAAGCAUGUACUGUAUUUGUGAGACCAACCCUGGGAUGGCCUGCACGUUAUAAAUUGAUGUUGAAAAAUGGGUGGUGGAACAUUAGAGCCACACAAAAUGAUUCAGAGCCUGAAGAAAAUGCUUUGCAAUGGGAGACAUGGAGCACCUUGUCUCUUUAGUUUAUCAAAAAAGGCUGAGCAGAGAAUUGAUUAUGAUGGUGAAGGAACUUCCUUGGAAGAAAAAUACCAGGUACUGAAAGGCUCUUUAAUCUAGUAAAUUAUGGGAAUGUGUUUCAGCAAGCUGAAAUCAGAUACAUUCAUAUGAAAAACUGGGCACAAAUUUAUUGGAAUGAAGGUGGUUAAUCACCAUAACAAGCUGUCAGGAUAGUUGGAACAUUUUCCAGAUGUGCCCAAGCCAAGACGGGCCUGUUUCUGAAGGGCGUGCACUAAGCACCGUUAAAAGCAUGAGGGACACUGCAGUCAAGUCUCAGGCAAGGUAAACAGGUGAUGUUUGAAGGACUGUGAUGUGUGACAGGCUUGACUAACAGCUCCCAAAGGAGCUGUGAAGAUCUAAUGGUUCCCAUCUGUCCUUAACCUCCCAGAGACCGAGAAAAACAGCACUUAGCAGAAAGUGGAAGGGAGGCAUCAGAAUGACAGCCUCAUUGCUGGCACACUCCGGUGACCUCUGUUUCUGGAAGGACUGUGUCUUUCACCUGCUUGGGGCUCUGCUAAUGUUUGCUCUACUGCCAACACAAGAACAACCUUUCUCCAGUCCACAAGCUCCACAAGGUACAGAUUCGCAUCGGCACCUUUCAUUUUAGAAGAGAAUGAAUAAAAAUUUGUGAUGCUCAGCGGCUCAGUGGUAGCUAGGAUAAGUAGUUUCCUUUUUCAGUUUUUGGUUUUUUAAAUUCCAUCUUCAUAAGCUUUGGUUUUGCCUGUUCUUCGCACCUGCUAGUUUCCCUAGUAUCCAUUUCCUUGUAUUGCCUUUGCCACCAGGCUCAGUGUAUUUUCCUGCAUUGAUAAUCUGUGGUGCAGGAUGCCUUGGAGGGUGCUUCCUACCUAUGAUUUGACAAAAUAAACACUGUCUUUCUUGCACAGAUUUCACACGGGAUGGGUAUGUCAGUGAUGUGCUGUGUAGAUAAAAGCUUGUCAGGAACUUUUUGAUAAAGUACCUUUCAUCCAAAA